AUUGAACGCUGGCGGCAGGCCUCACACAUGCAAGUCGAACGAGUGGCGGACGGGUGAGUAAUGUCUGGGAAACUGCCCGAUGGAGGGGGAUAACUACUGGAAAAGGUAGCUAAUACCGCAUACCCUCGGAUGUGCCCAGAUGGGAUUAGCUAGUAGGUGGGGGAACGGCUCCCCUAGGCGACGAUCCCUAGCUGGUCUGAGAGGAUGACCAGCAACACUGGAACUGAGACACGGUCCAGACUCCUACGGGAGGCAGCAGUGGGGAAUAUUGCACAAUGGGCGCAAGCCUGAUGCAGCCAUGCCGCGUGUAUGAAGAAGGCCAUCGGGUUGUAAAGUACUUUCAGCGAGGAGGCGUUACCGACAGAAGAAGCACCGGCUAACUCCGUGCCAGCAGCCGCGGUAAUUC
rnacentral:rRNA from 1 species